rnacentral:lncRNA from 1 species
AAUUUCUAAAAUUAGUGCAAAAUUAAUGUCCAAAUUUAGAAUAUCAAUUAAAAAUUUUAUUUAAAUAUUUUAUUGUUUAAUUAUAAAAAUAAUCUCGAAUGAAGUAACACUUUUACCUGCUAUAUACUAAAAUUACAUAUUUACCGUCCAUUGAUCAAUGGCUAAUUUUUUUUUUUUAUUUUUUUUAUAAAAUAAAGUGCCUAAUCAUUUAUAAAAGUUCAGUGAUAUUCAUAAUUAUCGCUCUGAUUUAUUAUUAUUAUUAUUUUUUAAAAAAUAAGUAAAAUAAUAUUUUUUCCGUCACCAAUAUAUUCCUUCAAAAAUUCCAAUUACUAAAAUUAUACAGAAAUUUUCUUCUAAAAAUUUCCAACGAUUAUUUUCUUUCUUUCUAUCAUGACAAAUAAUAUAAGAGAAAUAAAAAGAAUAAUAUAACUCAUUCACUAAUCAGAAUUACGUAAUUAUUUAGGGUAAACUAUAUUUUUCUAACGGAUGCUAACAGUAGAGUUAUAGUUGAAAACAUUAGGACUUUUAUAAAAAUAAAAAAAAUUAAAAGAAAUAUAUCUACUAUCUGAUAUGUUUAUAGAGAGCUAUAUGUAAUUAACAUUUUUUUUUUUUUUUAGAAAGAUUUUUCC